GUGGGGAAUAUUGGACAAUGGGCGAAAGCCUGAUCCAGCCAUGCCGCGUGUGUGAAGAAGGUCUUCGGAUUGUAAAGCACUUUAAGUUGGGAGGAAGGGCAGUAAGUUAAUACCUUGCUGUUUUGACGUUACCGACAGAAUAAGCACCGGCUAACUUCGUGCCAGCAGCCGCGGUAAUACGAAGGGUGCAAGCGUUAAUCGGAAUUACUGGGCGUAAAGCGCGCGUAGGUGGUUUUGUAAGUUGGAGGUGAAAUCCCCGGGCUCAACCUGGGAACUGCCUCCAAAACUGCAUGACUAGAGUACGGUAGAGGGUGGUGGAAUUUCCUGUGUAGCGGUGAAAUGCGUAGAUAUAGGAAGGAACACCAGUGGCGAAGGCGACCACCUGGACUGAUACUGACACUGAGGUGCGAAAGCGUGGGGAGCAAACAGGAUUAGAUACCCUUGUAGUCC
rnacentral:rRNA from 1 species